rnacentral:rRNA from 1 species
CCUACGGGAGGCUGCAGUGAGGAAUAUUGGUCAAUGGACGCAAGUCUGAACCAGCCAUGCCGCGUGAAGGAAGACGGCUCUAUGAGUUGUAAACUGCUUUUGUACGAGGGUAAACGCUGAUACGUGUAUGUUUCUGUAUGUAUCGUAUGAAUAAGGAUCGGCUAACUCCGUGCCAGCAGCCGCGGUAAUACGGAGGAUCCAAGCGUUAUCCGGAUUUAUUGGGUUUAAUGGGUGCGUAGGCGGAUGGAUAAGUUAGUGGUGAAAUCUCGCGGCUCAACUUCGGAAUUGCCGUUGAUACUGGUAGGCUAGAGAGUAGUUGCGGUAGGCGGAAUGUAUGGUGUAGCGGUGAAAUGCUUAGAGAUCAUACAGAACACCGAUUGCGAAGGCAGCUUACCAAGCUACAUCUGACGUUGAGGCACGAAAGCGUGGGGAGCAAACAGGAUUAGAUACCCUAGUAGUC